rnacentral:lncRNA from 1 species
CUUGUUACAGUUUACAUUUAAUAGCCAAUUUCCACUUUCUGAAUAUAUUGUUUGGAUUUCAGGUAAACUGCUGUGACACCAGAAUGAUUACUACUGGAAGCACCUCUCUGCAAUUUGCAUUCUAGGAGAACAGUUUGAAUACUUUCUCUCAUGAAAAGUGAAAUAGCACAGUGGAUGCCCACAAAUGCUAAGGACAGUGGAUUUAUGUCCUAGCUGACGGUCACACCCUGAAUCCUGGUAGUUCAAUGGCUGCCUCUCCUCAGAGACAAAGCAUAAAGGUUACCUGCAUUGAGACCAUGAGGCUGGAAGGAGAAAACAUAUAGUAACUUUUCAAGGUAUACCCACAGUUAGGAAAGAUGGCUGAUGGAGGACAGCAUAACAGGUAGUGUAAUUCUGAUUUACCAAGUGCUGUAAAAU